rnacentral:rRNA from 1 species
GCGAGAAAACUUUGCAAUGUGCGAAAGCACGACAAGGUUAAUCCGAGUGGUUUCUGCUAAAGAAACCUUUUGUCAGUCCUAGAAACACUAACGAAUAAGGGGUGGGCAAGUUCUGGUGU